rnacentral:lncRNA from 1 species
CACAGAGCGCAUGACGCAUGAGGAAGAAGCAGCUAUCGUAUUUUCGAACAGAUUUUUAAACUUUUUGUCACCACACCAUGGCUUUUAGAGGGAAAAAGCGCUUUUACACUCUCGAGGAGACACGGGAUAUAGUACUUGGAGACAAGGAAUUUGAAGACAUUGUACUUCAAGACUCCUCUUCUGACGAGUCGGAUCUGUUGGCCACAACCAGCCGGUCAAAUUACGAAUAUCCCCCAGAUGAAAGCAGUGAUGAUGAUGAUGGCAAACAAGAGUCUGGUGAGCCAAGCAGACCUUCAUCACCACAGCCAGGUUCAUCUGGAGAGCAGAGCAGGUCACAGGCUGCUUUGACAAGAAUACUAAGGUGAGGGUCUAAAAUGUUUUGUUGUGCUUAGCAUAAACUAACUUUGCAAAUGAGUAAUUGUCUCUAACUUUUGCAUUUUGCAGCUCUGAAAAAGAAAGUCUGCCACCUCCACCUCAGUCAACACCUCAGGAAGGAGCAGUGUAUAAAAGGGCGAGACGUGUAUUGUCCAAAAUGCAGAGGUAAUUAUCAAAAUUUAGGUGUUACAAACAAUGUACUGUUUGCAAAUUAGUGACUGUCUGUCUUCCUGCUGCAGUGCUCUAGCACCAGACACAUUCUCACCUUCAACUGGGCAAGGUGUGAGUUCCUCUCACAGUGGUGGUGAGGAGGAGGAGGAGGAGGAGGAAGAAGAAGAAGAUGAAGAUGAAGAAGAGGAGGAGGAGGAAGAUGAAGCUGAGGAUGAGGAGUACCAUCCACCCUCUGGUCCAGUGUCAAGAAAGUCAAAAAGGCAGUCUUCUGCAGAGCAGAGUGCUCCUUCAAAUCCACAAAGUGUGUCUGCCCCUCCCUCCAAGGAAGCCACUGUCAGGCCGCGAAAGGCACUCUCCAAGAGCAAGACGGGGAGGAAGCGAGCCAGUCCUGCUGCCACAUUACCUGCUCCUAGUGAUCGCUGGAAAAAUCGUGAUGAGGAGGACACUGCCCCAAUCCACGCCGUUUUGUGCCAGCAAGAGACACAGGACCUGUUUUGGACAAAAACGCUUCAUGGACAGUCCUGCAGUUGUUCCAGCUGUUUUUUAGCAGUGCCACUGUGAAUACAAUUAUUGUAAACACAAACACUAAU